GAUGUGGCUGGGGCUUCGCCGGCCUCACUAUGUCUGCCAUUUUCAACUUUCAGAGUCUGUUGACUGUAAUCUUGCUGCUUAUAUGUACCUGUGCUUAUAUCCGAUCCUUGGCACCCAGCCUCCUGGACAGAAAUAAAACUGGAUUGUUGGGUAUAUUUUGGAAGUGUGCUAGAAUUGUUUAUUCAAGGAAAACCAGUUGAAUCUAAUUGGCUGAAAACCAACAUGCAGAAGAUCCUAGGCCAGGGAUAGAACCCACCCCACAACAGAGACCCAAGCCACAGCAAUAACAACACCGGAUCCUUAACUGCUAAGCCACCAGGGAACUUCUGCUUAAUUCUAUUUUUUAGGAGAGACCUGGAAUAUUUCCUAUCUAUUCUCAUGGAGAAGAUACCUCUCAAGCACCUGCUGCUUAUCCAUUUUCCUUUAGAAAAGAGAGAACUUGGAAGGGACUUCCACAAGUUUUUUCUAAAACAAAUGGACAGAGAAAGGAUGGGAGGUAGAGAAGAGGGCAUGAUAAUUCGCAUCACGAGGCAUCUCUGCAAACUCAACGGUGACCAGCAAGUGAUUUGUGAGUUCCUGUACCCAAGGGAAUUUUCUGUAUGGAGGGUGCCUGGUAAAAGCCCAGAAGCUUUAUAGCCUCAGGGCUUGGAGUAGUGGAAUCUCAGUCUCUUUUUCUGGUGAUUGUGAUUCUAUCCACUGAUUGUUUGUAUAUCUCCCCUUCCACAUGUUGAGUAUGUAAUAUGUACUGAAUGUAACACUUCGUGUCUUUUUAGUUCUUAAUGUUCUCAUUCUUUCCCACCUCCAAAGUUCUCCAUGUGUCCACUGGGGUUCAGACUCUGACCCCUAAAACUACAUAUUUUGGAGCCUUUAAAAAAUUUUUAUUAAAGUGUAAUUGAUUUACAAUGUUCCGUCAAUUUCUGCUUUUGCUGUACAGCAGAAAUUGACAGAACAUUGUAAAUAUAUAAAUACACAUGCACUUUUUCUCAUAUUAUCUUCCAUCGUGUUCUAUCACAAGUGAUUGAACGCAGUUCCCUGUGCUAUACAGCAGGACCUCGUUGCUUAUCCAUUCUAAAUGUAAUAGUUUGCAUCUGCUAACCCCUAACUCCCCGUCCAUCCCAUUCCUCUCGUCCCCCUCCCCCCUGACAACCACAAGUCUGUUCUCCAUGUCUGUGAGUCUGUUUCUGUUCUGUAGGUAAGUUCAUUUUUGGCCAUAUAUUAGAUUCCACAUAUAACUGAUAUAAUAUGGUAUUUGUCCUUCUCUUUCUGACUUACUUCGCUUAGUAUGAGACUCUCUAGUUGCAUCCAUGUUGCUGCAAAUGGCAUUAUUUCCUUUUUAUGGCUGAAUAGUAUUCCAUUGUGUAUAUGUACAUCUUCUUAAUCUAUUCUUCUGUCGAUGGACAUGUAGGUUGUUCCCAUGUCUUGGCUAUUGUGAAUAGUGCUGCUAUGAACAUAUAGGUACAUGUAUUUUUUUUAAUUGUAGUUUUGUCUGGAUAUAUGCCAGGGGUGGGAUUGCUGGACCAUAUGGUAGUUCUAUAUUUACUUUUCUGAGGAAACCUCAAUACUAUUUUCCACAAUGCUUGUACCAAUUUACAUUCCCACCAACAGUAUAGGAGGAUACACUUUUCUCCACACCCUCCCCAGGAUUUGCUACUUGUAGACUUAUUAAUGGAGACUUGAAGUCUUCUAAUUGACUCUCCUUUAAAUCUACAAAAUUGUACUUUGAGUUUUUACUCUUCAUUACUCUCAGAAAAGGUGAAACAUUAAAUUUCUGGGAUUUCCACACUGAUGUGGUAAGUCUUAAGAUGAAACCACUAAAUAGUACUUUCUUGUGCAAUAUGAGACUCUUGUAGCAAGAAUCAUAGGAGGUUAUAAAAUCAGACUUGGCUCACUAAGCACAUACCAAGUUUGGUUGUCUAGAGUUCUAAAAACUUAGAACAAAGUUUCUCAAACAGGGGUUUGAAAAAAUACUAAAAAUCAUUUUCAAAAUUCUGUGUUUUGGAUUCAACAAUUAGCUAAAAUAAAAUUAGUAGAAGCUUAGUUUGCUAUUCUGAGUGAUUGUAGUUGAAGACCACCAUCUGAUUUUAGUGCUUACAGUUGCAUUUUUCUCAACUUUCUUACUGGCACCAGAAAGUACCAUGUCACUGUUGUGUGCUAAUUAGAGAAAGAACAAAAGAUAACUUAAUUUAGAAAUAAUUGCUUCCUACUAAGUAAAGAACAAAUUACAUCAUUAAGCAUAAUUUCAAACUGAAAAAACUUGGAAGGAAAAUGGAAUCUUCAAAAGGCCCACAGAGGUCUUGACAUGUAAACCCUCUGUCUUGUGGAUGCAACUUAAUUUCCACAAAAUAUAAUUUGUCACAUAAUCAGUUAAUUUCAAUUUUCAUUUUCAUUUUUAUAAUUUUAUUUACAUUGAUUUGUCUGCUUUGAUUUUAUAGUGGUAGCACAAUUGUGAGACAACAGAGUUGCUAUUAAUUUUUUGAUAUAUGUACAGUUAAUAUAAUAAAAUUAUAGUAAUA
ensembl:lncRNA